rnacentral:misc_RNA from 1 species
AGAGUUUGUAACACCCAAAGUCGGUGAGGUAACCUUUGGAGCCAGCCGCCUAAGGUGGGACAGAUGAUUAGGGUGAAGUCGUAACAAGGUAGCCGUAGGAGAACCUGCGGCUGGAUCACCUCCUUUCUAAGGAAGCAAGGUGCUGGAGAGUAGAGAUACUAAAAGAAGGCACUGAGUACGGAAGCACACUAAAGAAACUUUGUUUAGUUUUGAGAGUAGUAGCUCUCAAACAUUGCACGUUGAAAACUGAAUAACAACCAAGAAAAAACCGAGACAAUCAUUGAACAGAUUGUGAAAGCGAACCGAGAAGAGAGAUCUAGGUAAUAGGUCAAGAAGAGAAGGGCGCACGGUGAAUGCCUGGGCACUAGAAGCCGAUGAAGGACGUGACGAACCACGAAAGGCUACGGAGAGCUGUAAGUAAGCUAAGACCCGUAGAUAUCCGAAUGGGGGAACCCAAUCAUCCGAUGCAUCAUUAAAUUAAGUUAAUGUAUAUAAAGGAAGACGCAGUGAACUGAA